rnacentral:rRNA from 1 species
AUACGUAGGGUGCGAGCGUUAUCCGGAUUUACUGGGCGUAAAGAGCUCGUAGGUGGUUUGUCGCGUCGUCUGUGAAAUUCCGGGGCUUAACUCCGGGCGUGCAGGCGAUACGGGCAUAACUUGAGUACUGUAGGGGAGACUGGAAUUCCAGGUGUAGCGGUGAAAUGCGCAGAUAUCAGGAGGAACACCGGUGGCGAAGGCGGGUCUCUGGGCAGUAACUGACGCUGAGGAGCGAAAGCAUGGGUAGCGAACAGGAUUAGAUACCCUGGUAGUCCAUGCCGUAAACGGUGGGCGCUAGGUGUAGGGGUCUUCCACGACUUCUGUGCCGUAGCUAACGCAUUAAGCGCCCCGCCUGGGGAGUACGGCCGCAAGGCUAAAACUCAAAUGAAUUGACGGGG